AUACGUAGGUGGCAAGCGUUGUCCGGAUUUAUUGGGCGUAAAGCGAGUGCAGGCGGUCUUUUAAGUCUGAUGUGAAAGCCUUCGGCUUAACCGAAGAAGGGCAUCGGAAACUGGGAGACUUGAGUGCAGAAGAGGAGAGUGGAACUCCAUGUGUAGCGGUGAAAUGCGUAGAUAUAUGGAAGAACACCAGUGGCGAAGGCGGCUCUCUGGACCGUAACUGACGCUGAGGCAUGAAAGCGUGGGUAGC
rnacentral:rRNA from 1 species